rnacentral:lncRNA from 1 species
GCCCGCCCGCGUCAGCUGACCUGGCUUCCGCGGGCCCUGCGCCCUCGCGCUCCCGGGCCCCGGCCGCCCCCACGCCCCACGCCGCGCCCGCCGGCCCGGCCCUCCCUCCCCAGCUGGCCCGGCCGCCGCGGCCUCUUCCGCCCGGCGCCCGCGCAUUCCUGCCAUUCCCCCGAGUCGGCCCGCGGGCUACGGCCGCCUGCGGAGCGCAGGAACCUUCACCUCCCGAGGACAGGCGCCUUCCCCUCGGGACCCGGCUCCCCUGCUGCCUGCGCCGCUCUGUCCCCCUGCCGCUGCCCAAGCCUCCAGCAGGGGCCACCGAGGGCUCCAGGAGCACCCCAGGCCCGUUCUUCUGGCCCACAGCGCCCCUCCUGUGACCCUCAGCGACCCUCCUGUCCUGCCCUCCGGCGGCGCGGCUGUCUGGAGACUCUGCACCGUCGCGGCCUCGCAGCCUCGCAGCCCCGCGCCGGGUGGGGAGGGGAGGGUGGCGUUCCUGAGUCCGCGGAGGAAAGGGUCGCAGCUGCAGUCGCGCCAGCCCUCGGGCCUACAUCCGCUCCGCCGCGACGCGGCUCACAAACUAGGGAGGGGAGAAGGGAAGAAAGACCCGAUUCGGGAACACGGCUUUGUCCCUGGAACUGUACCUCAUGUCCCCUCACUUAAUCCUCCCAAGACCUGUGGGGCGUGUCGUCAUUUUAGGGCUGGAGAUGAGGAAACCGAGGCUCGGAGAGAUGAAGCGUUGUACGGCCACCGAGCGGCUGCUUUGCAACGAAGCCAAAGCCAACGUUUUGUUCUUAGCGGCGGUCGUUUGAGCCACGCCUCACCGCAACGAGUCUGCCAUCAGCCAAGAGAUGGAGUGAAGGUACCUGAGCGCAGGAACCAUGGUCUUCAUUGCUGCCUCAGCAUUAGCGGAAGUGCCACGGGCCGGCUCCCAGGGGGCCAGAGUUUCCCAGGAACACCAUUGAGUACCACUGAACUAGAGUCUGCAAGUUAAAGGACAGCCCGCUGCCAGCCACUACUACUGUGACUAGCAUUCUGGAAACAGCACAGGCAGUACUGAUUUCUUGGACCUUGAGGACACUAGUGGCAACUUGAGGAUAAGCCUUGUCUACCCUGUGCUCCCCUCCAUCCUACCUGCCUCCUCUUCAGGCUACUCCAUAGCCCCCAGGAUAUUUUUUUCUCCUACGCAGUGAAGCGAAAUCUCAGCUUUUACAGGAGCGUCCACCUCUUGGACUGCCCCUUGAGGGCCUGAAAGCACAGAGCUCUGCAGGGAAGCUCUGUGGGGCAGGAGGGCACUGCCCGUGAGUGCCUGGAGCAGCCCAGGAUCCCAUUUACAGAGACUCCUUUGCAGCAACCGGGUUAGGUCAUGGGCUUUGCAAGAUUCCUGCUCCCCUUCCCAACCCUAGUGAAGGCAGUUCACAACAAGGAAUGUGGGUGAGCAUUAAAUUACGUAGAUCACCGUGAAAGCCAGAGAAAAAGAGGGACAGAGGAAGGGUGCGGCAUUAAAGAUCCAAUGCUACCAACCCCACCCUGCCCCACUAUCCCUUGGGACGGAGCCCUGUUUGAAUCAUAACACUGGGCGGUCACAUUUCUAGGAAACUGCAGCUGAAGAGGAAAGGUCCUGGUUGUGUGAGUGAGGCUGUGUACAGAUUAGGACUGAAAAUGUGUAUCCGGGCAGACAAUUGGUCUCUGGACUCCACACCCGAGGCACAAGACAAGCACACAAAACAAAAUGACCAAAGCCUGACCCCUCAAACCUGAGGGUAAACAAACCUGCUUCCCUGGACAAGGGUUGUGGAAACAGGGAGUUCACCUCUGGAGAGGCGCAGGGGUUUUCCAUUCUCCUGGCGUGGAGCCUGGUCAACUUCUAGCUCAGAGACUCGCUGUUCCAGGAUACUGGGAGCUCUUUCACAGAAGCUUGGAGGUGAUGCUGCAGACUUUGGGCUGGCACUCUCUCCCACCUGACUUCCACAUUGCCCCCUGCCCUCCCUACCCCUGUUCCCAAGGCCCUCAAACUGUUCAGGGGUGCCAGGCCCCUCUGUUCCUUCUCUUCCACCCCUGCAGAAGGCAUAUUCCCCCAUCCCUCAGGUGUCUGUGCCCAGGUGCCCCGUGGGAAAGCCCACUCUUGCCUUCAGUAGCUCUCUUCCCUCUCCUGAGACGCAAGGCUGGGUGACAGGAGACAGACAUUCAUCUUCACCCGAGCCCUUCAUUAUGCUUAAUCUUUCUAGUGGGGGUGGGCCUGUCAAACACGUCUCUUUCCUAGGUUGGAGUAAUCCCAAAGCACCUCUCAUCAUAGUGGCUGUAAAUCCCACAAGUAUGUGGCAUGCACAUAGUAGCACUGACAGUGUGGUGGUGCCCUGCACUGACAGUGUGGUGGUGCCCCACACUGAAACAAGAAGUUUGGACUUGAGAGGCUUAGAACCUUUGUCUUCUUAGAAAGUGACUGGCAGCUCCUCCUCCCUGGCACCUGCUCCAACCUGGGCCCCUUGAUCUGCUGACAUCUCUGCGUGACUCUGGGUGCGUUGCUUACUCCAGGUCUAGUGCAGGUGCUACAGGACUACCUGGGAGAAAGGAGCCAGUCUUGAAGUCUCCAUUUCUCCCAUACAUCAGUCACUUAACGGAUUUAAGUAAGACCUUAGUAUGCAUCGGGAUCACCAGGGGACUUGUGAAAAUACAGAUUGCAGAAACCCUCAUCUCCAGGGUUUCUGAUUUGGUGGGUCUAAGGAUUUGCAUUUCUAACAAGUGAUGGGGUGCUGCUGUUCCAGGGACCACAUUUGAAAACCACUGAGUUCGAGUAUAGCAAAAAGAAAACCUAGGUUUCAGUCCUGCCCUGCCGCUUCCAGGCUCUGUGGUCUUGUCUUUGACCUUCCUGAGCUUCACUUCUGCAUCCAUUAAUGGUGUAGUAAUGACCACUGGGUAGUUGGGAGGAUUCAUUUGCAUCAUGUGUUUGAAAGACCCUUUCACGGUGCAUGGCAAAUUGGAUACAUCAAUUAGUCAACAAAUACAUUUUUUUUUGGAUGGAAUUUCACUCUUGUCACCCAGGCUGGAGUGCAAUGGUGUGAUCCUCGGCUCACUGCAACCUCCGCCUCCUGAGUUCAAGCGAUUCUCCAGCCUCAGCCUCCCAAGUAGCUGGGACUAUAUGCACCCGCCACCACACCUGGCUAAUUUUUGUUUGUAUUUUUAGUAGAGACAGGGUUUCACCAUGUUGGCCAAGCUGGUCACAAACUCCUGACCUCAGAUGAUCCGCCUGCCUUGGCCUCCCAAAGUGUGGGGAUUACAGGCGUGAGCCACUGCGCCCGGCCUAACAAACACAUAUUUAUUGAGUAGUCUGUCUGUUGUUCAUUAGAUACCCAAUGCCAUGAAGAUUCUAAGGCCCAGUUAAACAUCACACGUCUCUGGACCUUGAUUUUUUCCUCUUUAAAACAAGGGCUAGACCCGUUCAUCGGGGAUGAACUGACCGAAUGAAUGGUCGUGUUCAUGAGUGUUCUUUGCUCUGCAGAGGCACCUGGGCUCUCAGAUAGAGGUCCAGGAAAGGCCUGGACAAGGAAUAAAACAUUUGGCUGUCACCUGCAAAUCUAAGCACCCCAUACUCCCAUCAGAGUUGGACUUCUGCACAGGACCUGGAAGGCCUAUUAGUCUAAUAAACCAAAUUUGGCCUUCAGGGUCCAUCAUGAUCUGAUUCCAACCUACCAUUACAAUCCUAUUUCUCACUUUUCUCUUCCUUUCACCUUAGAGUCUAAACAAAUCUAUCUACUCAUCCUUCCCCAGAUAUGCCCUGUGUUUUCCUGCCUCCAGCUUUUUGUUCACACUGUUUUCGGCACUAGAAUACUCUUGCACUAGUCAAAGUCCUAUUCAUCCUUUGCAGCUCAUUCAAUGACUAUAUUUUCAAAGAAGUCAUCCACCUAUCUAUCUAUCUAUCUGUCUAUCUAUCUAUCUAUCUAUCUAUCUAUCUAUCUAUCUCAAGUGAUUUUAUCUUUUUCUUUUUUUUUUUUCGAGACGGAGUCUCUGUCGCCCAGGCUGGACUGCAGUGGCGCGAUCUCGGCUCACUGCAACCUCCGCCUCCCGGGUUCAAGUGAUUCUCCUGCCUCAGCCUCCAGAGUAGCUGGGAUUACAGGCAUGCGCCACCACACUCGGCUAAUUUUUGUAUUUUUAGUAGAGACGGGGUUUUGCCAUGUUGGCCAGACUGGUCUCAAACUCCUGACCUCAGGUGAUCCGCCCACCUUGGCCUCCCAAAGUGUUGGGAUUACAGAUAUGAGCCACCGCGCCCAGCUGGGAUGUCACAUUUCUAGUCUUGGAGCAUAUUCAGAUACAAAAAAUAAGAGUUGUCCUAUGUAAAACUAUUAAAAAGUGGAACAGCCACUUAAAAGGAGAUGCCUACUUAUACAUAAUAGUCAUGUAUAAACUGUUUAUUUUUUAUGGUAAUCAGAAACAGUGAAUAUGUGUGUGUGUAUAUGUGUAUAUAUAUAUAUAUAUAUAUA